UUUUUUUUAAAGGGGGGGUCAUUUUCAGUUUCGGUCAAGUGAUAGCUGAAUUUUCGGUCCAGAAUUUUCAUUUCGGUGCAUCCCUAUAUACUAAGCCAGACACUGAAGCAGUAGGCCUACACCACAUCAAUGUUUGGCUUAGUAUAUAGUGAUAGGGGUUAUGCUACAUUAUUGGCAAUGUCUGGCUCAAUGUAUAGUGAUAGGUGUUAUGCUGUACCCCUGUCAAUGGUAUGCAGUUUUUCCCAAUAAAAAAAAAUAGUAAUAUAUAUAUAUAUUGAUCCUUUAUGCAGCCCGGAGCCCCCGCUCAUGAUUCGCUCAUAAUUAAUUUUUGCGGUGAGAAUUUCACCUUUAGAAUAGACCAUGGAGUCAAAAGGGUUGGAAAUAUAUAGCUCCACCACCUUGCAAUGUGAUUUUUUUUUCAGCUCCACCAACUUUAUAUGGACUGUAGAAGCAUAUUGUGCACACAAAAUUUUGGCUCUGGGAAAAAUUUUGCACAACAGAAAUUUUCUGCGCACAUCACCCAAGAAAAA